AAGGGGUGGGCAGGGUUUCGGGAUGGCGGGCCGGUAGUUGUCAAGGCCGGCGCGUGUAAAGGCAGGGGACCGCGGUAGAGCCCCGGAUGUGGGCCCAGCUUUAGCCAGGAACGAUAUGCACAGGAGUUUUGCUUUCUGGUGGUUUCAGUUACCUGUGCCAAUGGUGGUUUGGCCUGGAAUCAGUUGACCCUCCUGACCUACCAUCAGAAGUUCAACAGUAGCCUGAUGCUGCUGUCACAGCGCCUACGUCAUUCACCUCACUGCGUCUCAUCACUAGGCAUUUUAUCAUCUCACAUCAUCAUAAGAAGGCCAAUGCUCAUUCCAUCCACAUACUUUGUGCGGAGCUUCCCUGAAGGGUUGGUGAAAAGUAUCAGAAGAAACUACAAAGAAGAUUUCAAAAUCCAAAGCUAAAAGGCUGAAACAGAGAAACCAGGAACUUCUUCUGAAAUGGAAGAUUACAUCUUAAAACCUGAUUAUGCUUCUGUUUACAACAUAUAAAAUAAAAUA